UUUCCGUAGGUGAACCUGCGGAAGGUUCAUUACUGAGUGAGGGCCCCUCGGGGUCCAACCUCCCACCCGUGUUUAACGAACCUUGUUGCUUCGGCGGGCCCGCCUCACGUCCGCCGGGGGGCAUCUGCUCCCGGGCUCGCGCCCGCCGAGGCCACCUGUGAACGCUGUCCGAAGUAUGCAGUCUGAGACAAUUAUUAAAUUAAUUAAAACUUUCAACAACGGAUCUCUUGGUUCCG
rnacentral:misc_RNA from 1 species